rnacentral:rRNA from 1 species
CAUGCAGGCGGUCGUACGCGUUUUGUGUGACAGCGGGUGGCUUAACUACCCGAGUAUGCGAAAGACGGUAUGACUUGAGGGCUCGAGAGGGACACGGAAUUCCGGGUGGAGUGGUGAAAUACGUAGAGAUCCGGAGGAACACCGAAGGCGAAGGCAGUGUCCUGGCGAGUGACUGACGCUGAGGUGCGAAAGCCAGGGGAGCGAACGGGAUUAGAUACCCCGGUAGUCCUGGCCGUAAACGAUGACCACCAGGUGUGGGAGGUAUCGACCCCUUCCGUGCCGGAGUAAACACACUAAGUGGUCCGCCUGGGGAGUACGGUCGCAAGAUUAAA